AAAUAGACAGUACCUACCGUGCUAGCAGUGUCGGGGUAAACAUUGUAAAUUAGGGAACUAAAAAAUUCUCUAGUGAGCCUAUUGUAAGUGGGUGCUUUACUAGCAAAAAGAUCGUGUAGUCCUAAAUUAUCUAGCAUGUGGAAAACACUAUGGUAUGUGCCUAGAGUGUACAAACAAUCUUCGUCAACAUACCUAGUAGCGAGGAUCUCCCGAGUUUGCAAUCUUUGCAAAAUCUUGUUUUGUCGCUCACCGGGCUUUCCUCCAGGAAGAAUGAUGUCGUUAAACUCCAUUCCAGUCAUUAAUGGUGAUUAUAGAGAAAAAUGAGAAUUUAUAGAAAAGAAAUGAAAAAAUGGAGUUUAAUGGAUUUUUGGUGGAGAAAUGGAGAAGUGAAGUUGGGAAAAUUGUAAUGGCUUGUAGUGAAAAUGAGAAGCUUGAGAAUUUUUUAUGAACUUUGGUGGAGUUGGGAGAAGAAGAAAAUGGGUUUGGAGAGGUUGAAGAAGGUAUAAAUGGUGAAAAAAGGGAAUCUUCCCGUUACGUCAUGGCGCCCGCCAUGAAGCCUAUGACGCCUGCCAUGUCUUCGGAUUUGGUNAUCAAUGCUCAGGGUAUAGUGGAGUCUCCUCGACUUCGUAGCCUCGAAGCUCUGUGAUCUGGCGUCGGAGAUCGGCGAUCUCAUCAUGCAGCAUAUCAGUCUCGGUGUCGUGUGAGGCAACUGAUACUUCGAUCUGCAAGGCAACGUCAGCAAGCUCCUGACGAAGCUCGACUAUCUCCAUGUGAAGCUUAACCAAUUCGGACUGCAUGAUCGGAGUCUGGAGAUUCGGAUUAUUGGUACAGACUUUGAUUCUGAUUGGUGCAAUCUUUGGCGCGUCUACUAUCUCUCCCUUCCCUUCUAUGGCGUAGGCCCAGUUGGCCUGAUCAAUAACACAAGUCACCUGAGGGUCAGGUAAAGUGAAGUAGUGAAUGGUCUCACCCUCAAUUAACAGCCUGUAUUGAUUCGGUUGGAAAGAAGAUCUCCUCAUGAGGCCACGGUCCAAACAGAAAUCAAUAUCCAUUAAGGUGUAGCUGCAAUAAGACGCCAGGUGAGACAGUCUUCUAUCGAGUCCCAGGGUUGAGGCUAUGUGAGUCACCAAGCUUCCAACAUGUAUAGGGCUUGCAGCAGAGCGAGCAUUAAGAUAUAGGCUCUCGAUCAGGAAAGUUCCACAGUCUACUAGGCGUGACUGAGUGGUACAGUACAUGAAGAAGAUCUCUUCAGCACUCAUAUACAUAUCAGGGUCACUCUUUCCCAGGAAGGUGUGGGAAAUGAUCAUCUGGAAGUAGCGGAAAGCAGGGUUGUGAAUCUUAUUGGAGAUUUGGGUGGAAGAGUCAGGACUACCUCCAAACGUGAUAUCGCUCCAAAACUUCUCGACGUCUCGGCUCAGAAAGUAGCUCAUGGGGAGCUCAGACGAAGCAUCAUAGGCAGUCUGAAAACCAAGCAAGUUGUCGAAAUGCUUGUGGUUGAAGGUGUAUUCUGCCCCGAACAAUCUGAAAUUAAUAUAUCCUCAAUCACUGGCGUGACCAACAUAAGGCUCGUAGAUAAGUGAGCUCAGGAACUCCAAAAUUAGGUUCCUGUAAGUCACGUGCAUAGCAUCAGUGUAUUUAUCCCACUGCAACUGAUUGCACAAAUGCCAGACAUUAGGCUCAAUGCCUAAUGCCUCCAUACAGCUCGAGUCGGGAUAUCUGGUGGGCAACAUUGGGCACUAUGAAAGCAUGGCGUAGCGCUGCUCUUGAACUGGGUCACGAAAAAUUACUGGCAUAGUGUCGAUAUUCUCCAUUCCUGAAAAGUUAGAUUAGAAAUAGAGGACACCUGAAAUCACAAAUCUUAUAAUUGUUAGUCUCCACACACAGACACACACACACACACACACACACACACACACACACAAUAUAUAUAUAUAUAUAUAUAUAUAAUAUAUAUAAUAUUCAUAUAAGAUAUAUAUUAAUAUAUAUAUAUAUAAAUAUAUAUUAAUAUAAUAUAUAUAUAUACUAUAUAUAUAUAUAUUAUAUUAAAACAAAUAAGAAACAUUUUAAAUUGAAAAUAGUGAAAAAGUAAAGGAUAAAACAUGGUUGCCUCCCAUGACCGCUUGUUUACGUCGUUAGCCUUGACGAUCGAAACUUUAUAUUUAGAAGUAGGAACUAGAGGUCGGUCAAGUCUUGUAUUGACUCAGUUAUGUCACCUCCUUCGGUAUUGCUUCAGUCUUUGCCAUUACCAACGAAAUGGAAUUCCAGGAGUUGUUCCGGAUUGUCAAGCCUGCUCCGACUUUUAGGAUUUGGACACGCUCUAAAGCGGGCCUUGUACACAUUCGAACGCAGCUUACCUGGAAAAAGAUGAAUCUCGAAUUAAGAGAAGACAAAGUCGCCUAUAUUAAAUUCCUCUCUUUUAGAGUCCUGUUUGUCGGUCGCCAACCUUUGGUUCUCUCUUUAUAUUAACUGCAUCUCAGUAAGCUUCGGGAAAAGUUCCUCCAAUUUGUGAAUAACAAGGAUUCGCUUCUUGCCAGAUGCUAGGUAAUCCAAAUUCAGGGUCUUGAUGGCCCAAUAUGCCUUGUGCUUGAGUUCAAAAGGUAAGUGGCAUGACUUCCCGUAGACCAACUGGUAUGGUGUAGUUUCAAUAAGGGUUUUGUAAGCAGUUCUGUAAGCCCACAGUGCUUAUGUUAGCUUUUCAGACCAAUCUUUUCUAGAUAUUGAUACAGUUUUCUCCAAGAUAUGCUUAAUC
rnacentral:lncRNA from 1 species